rnacentral:lncRNA from 1 species
UUCUGCAUGCUCCCACCCCUGGUUCGGUGUCGUCGGGGAUGGAGGAGGUUGGAACAGAGCUCGGGCCCCGACAGCCUCAACCUCCACCCAGUGCCACCGGAACCCUUCCACCUCAGGGAGGAGCUCAGCGCAUGGGAUUCCGAGGGCUGAUGCGCCGACAAUUCUCAAGAAUGCACACCCCGAGGACUACAGCUCGGAGACCAAUCAAGGGAGAAGAAAUGGCAGAGCAAUGCCAUAGAAGGAGUCAUGCCGACAAA